AAAGGGUGGGACAGGCUUGAUCAACCUAGCUGCAGUGAUGCAGCUGGGAAAGUUUCUUGAGCUAAAUGGGAAGCUGGCUCAGGAAGAACAGGGCUGGAGGUCUCAGCCUUGUUCAGUCACGGUCACUCUUUCAGCAAGCCAGCAGACUUCACUGCCACAGGCUGCCUGGAUGCAGCAGCAUGUUUAAUAGUCAGGGACCCAGCUCCAGGGAUAAAACCACCUGCUACAUUGGCUACAGAGAACACGACAAUAAUGAAUUUAAUUACAGCAACACUACGGACAUCCUCACUGUUACUUAUCACAGUAAUGAGACUAAGAACAAGAAGCGGAGGACUUCAACUUAAGAGUUUGUCUACACAGGGAAAUUUACUGACAUCAUUAUACCGUAUAGUUAUACCUUAAAUAAAAGGCACAGAUGCUAAAGGAUCCCAGAACUCAGAGGGAGAGGGCAACAGCGCAAGAUUAGCAGGCUCCAAAGAGAAGAUUGCAAGCCCUGGGAAAUGAUGGGCCCCCAUUCCUUAGAAAGAGGACUGCAGCAAAACACUGUGUCACUUCUCCUGGGGGUAGAGCUGAGCUGUAGCUCUCCCCUAGUCACCCACCAAGCCUUUUCCCCAGCAGUGAAUCAGACCCUUUAAAUACUCUGUCUACAUGGGGAAACCUAGCAGUGUCAUUAUACCAGUAUAACUAGUCUCACAGUAGAGCCACGGUCACUGCAGACACUGACUGAUUCCUGUGUGGAAUUCAGCUGUUGAUUCAGGGUCCCCCAGAAAACCAGCUCUGGCUUUUGGGGCCCAAGAAGCCUAAACUUGGGGUGGGGAUGGCCGAGACCAGUUCAUAGAUAUGGGGGGAGACAUUGGGCCUCCAAUGAGAGGGGGAGGGUUGCUCUGGGCUCCUCCUAGAUGCUACUCUAGACUGCACUGGGGGGAAGAUUGUCCUGGGGGGUCUGGGCACCAGCUGCCUUCACACAGAAGCGCUAAUGCUCGCUCUGCCUGUCUCCAGCCCUAUCCAACAGCCUCUUGAAGACUCUAGCUCAUUCCAGUUGCAGCUCCCUGCACUCUGCCUCUUAUGCCUCGGGAGAUUUUUUUUUCCAGCAGAGCCCCUGCCCCAGUAGCUGCCAGCCUGAGGAUGUGGGGCCUGGCUGCAUCAGACUCAUCCUGUUUGCAGUGGCAGUAGCUGGGGCCCUUUACUGUAUGUCCGAUCCACCUGGAGGCUGGAUAGAAGCCCUGCUCCAGGCAGAGCUGUACGCACUGAGCCCACAUGAUGCUGCAAGAGGCUUCUCACCGGACUUGGGCCAGGAGUCCUGCUUUUCCUCACUGUCCUUUCAGCAGCACCGAGGCCUGGAUUCUGGCAAGGCAGGGGAUGAGGGGGAGAGAUCCAGCAUUGUGCAAAGGAGUGUGGAAUAAAGGAAAAAAAGGCGUUGAGUGAAAGAGAAAGGAAGAGACACCAAGAACAUGACACAGGAGGAAGAAGAAUGUUUAGAGAUAGACUAAGGGCAAGGAAUAAGGUAGGCCUAUCUCAAUCCUGGGAUGGUAUCAGCCCACCACCACCACAAGGGUGUCUACACAACCAGUGGUCUCCCAUGGCAGUGAGUCUCCGAGCCCAGGUGACAGACUCAAGGCUGAUCCACACUGGAAAUGGACAAUGGCAGAGCUGCCUCCCUCAGUGGUGUGAAAAAUCCACCCCCGAGAGACAGAGCUACGCUGACCUAACUCCUGCUGCAGACAGUGCUGGGCUUUUCUGUUGACCUAGCUGCUGCCUCUCAGGGAGGUGGAUUAACUACAGCGAUGGGAGAACCCCUUCCAUCAGCAUAGAUCGCGUCUAUAGCAGUGCAGCUGUAGCAUGUCAAGUGUAGAUAAGUCCUAAGUCUGUGGACCUGAGCCGUGGGCUGUGCAGAUGUCCCCCAAAAGGCCCUCCCCCUCAGAUGAAGGAAGGGCCCGAGAACCCAGCCAAAAAAUUUCAGGGGCCAAAAAAUGAGCAGAGGUCAGGGACAGGGUCAAAUCCAGAAGGGAAUGCCCAGCAGAGCCCUCCACAGCGUGUCCCAGUGCUCCAAGGAGUCAAUGGAUGCCUCCUGGGGCUGGAUGGGCACAUGGAUAAGGGUCAGGGAAAAGGCCCCAGAGAAUGCCCCCACCUAGCUUCCUCCUCCUAGAGUGAUGGAUGGCUGCUUUGGGCAGGACCAGGAGAAGGGUGAUGGGGUCGUUUCAGGAUUCGACUGAGUAGGAGAGAUGAACACAAGGGUUGUGGGGCCUGCAAUCCCAGGGUUAGAUGCUUCAGAAGGCUCUGGGGCCGUGUCUGCACCCAGCCCCACGUUUCAUCAGCCCUUCCCUGCCACAGGCUCCUGUGCCCUCCCUCCCACGCAAGCUGCCAGAGGAAUCGGGAUCAGCCCGGAGGAGCAGCUUUGGUGCAUGCUCCGCUACUGGUAUGGGGCCUGGAAGAUGACCACGCCCAGGGAGAGUCCAGCCAGACACUGGAGCAAGCAGUGGCUGAGGAAGGUCUCCCCUUUCAGUGGAUUGGUGUGAUCUGGUGCUCAGAGGAGGAUGCCUGGAUUCCAUUCACUCUGUGGCUUGGGCAAGUUAUUUUGCCAGCUCUGUGAUUCAGUUUCUGCCUUGUAACCUGCUGAUGCCGCAAACACAAGCAACCCUGUGUAGCAGUGAAAUCACUGGGGCUAUUUCAGGUACCCAGCGCAGGCAAAAUCUGCCAGACUGAACCUUUGCGUCUUCAGAAAGGCAAAUUAGCUUUUGUUGAGGCGAGUAUCAAGAUGCACACACCCAGGUGAGCGACCCAAGCAGAGGCCAGUGGUGAUAGAAGGAAGUUAUAAAAUAGGAAUCAAGGGGGUUAGUUGGUAUGACAGAGCUGCUGGGAAAACAAAGGGCCUGAAGGAAAUGUGGCCUAGUAGGCAGAGCACUGGACUGGCCUCAGAAGAGCUGGGUUCUGUUCCUGGCUCUGCCUCAGGCCUGCUGUAUGCCCGUGGGUAAGUCAUUUCACUGCUCUGUACCUCAGUUUCCCCAGCUGUCCAAUAGGGACGGUCCUGACCUCUUUUGUACAGUGCUGUGAGAUCUACUGCUGAAGAGGGAGGUACUGUUGUUAUUCUCCACUGCUUGCAUCCCAGGAAUUGUUCAAAUCCGUGUGAAAAGGGUGCAAGCCGCAAGCACCCAGGAGAAUGCAGCCAACCGGUGCGGUGACUACACAGAAGUGACUACACCAGGUGCCAGGCAGGGGAGAAAAGGCCCACAGUAUUUGCCAAGAUGGAUGAACCACCACAGGCAUUGAAAAUCCAAGACAGUGCACAGUUACAGACAGGGCACUGUGCCACGAAAGCCAAAAUCAAGGAAUUCAGCAAAAGGUGGGCCCCCACCAGAGAACAGGUGGAUGAGAGUAACCACCAUCUUACAUGGCCCCCAGAGGUUGAUCUUCUAGCUGUGUAGGUGUGGUGGUCACUGGGGGGGGGGGCGCGAAGGGGAGAAGGAAGUGACAGAGGUCAAUAUGGUCAUUUUCCCCUUGUACUCCCUUGUCUGUGUCUGUCUGCCCUUAGCUGUCUUAUACUCUGGAGCAGGGACUGUCUCUCUUCUGUGUUUGCAUCUAGCACAAUGGGGGCAUGGUCCAUGGCUGGUACUCCUAGGUGCUACUGAAAUACAAGUUACAGCAAACAAAGAUGCAAUAAAUCCCCACGUGGUAAAGGCCUUCCGAUUGCCCUGGUGUUGAAGAGAAUCAUUUUGGAUUCCCAUUAUCGUUCAGUACUAGAACCAUCUGCCUCUGCAAGUGAUUAUGCAGGAUGGAGAGGUAGGAAGGGAUGCCUACACCUUCCACUAGAUUAGGUGGCACAGACCUUCUACCCUAUCCCACGAUUUGGGAGACGGGGAUGAGUUUUCAUCCACUGAAAAGAGACACGCCCGAGGCCUGAACUCUUAUGGGACCUACAGGUUGUUUUGCUUAAUCUCCCCCAGAAAGGCACAUCAAAGUGGAAAAAUCAGCCUCCCACUCUCCCAGAUUAACUGUUGUUUCCUAACAAGCUGCAAACAGCAACAGGAGGAAGGCCCAAAGCUGGGUAACAGGUUGGAGAAUGCAGAAGAGCUAACAGUCACAAGGAAUUAUUCUGAGAAUUUCCAUAAUUCUGGGAAGAACCAGAGAGGACUGAGUCAGAUGCGAAAAGCAUCAUCAUUUCCAUAUUGUUUGCUGAUGUACAGCAAUGUGCAAGAGGCAAGGAAUCUUGAAGGCUAGAAAUUACUUACUGCCACACAGGACUUCAUUUCAGGACUACGCCAGGCCUUGCAAACUGGAUAUUAAUUUAAUGUUUGAAAAGCCUGAACAAAAUAUUUACUUCCAACAGAAACCAGAUUGUGCUGUUGGCUGGAAAACACGAUCACUCCGUGCACUGUUACAUACAAGCUGUCCUGGGCUGUAUCCCAUUUGGGCCAUGAGUUUAUUAAAUAUAGAAUAGUCUUGAAAAUGAAAACCCAGCUGGAGAUGUAGUUAGAGAGUUCCCAAAAAGUCUAUGUUGAAACAGCAGAUCAGCAGCUAGAUAACAUUCACUGAACUCUCUGUGGCCAUGAAGGAUGCAUUUAUAUUUAACCCACAAUCUAAUUCUUUAACGUUGUUUGUUAACUCAUUAAGUGAUCUAUCGAGAAUCUGAGUUUACAGCCAAUGCUGAUUUAAGAGUUUGCUCUAUUUAGCACAGAGGUGUGUAGAGAUUUAAUCAAUCUCCCUGACUAAGUUAUCAUGAGUGAUCAGACAGUACAUCACAAGUCUGUCUAGAUUCUAGGACAAGUAACUUAUCAUUGGUAAGAUGCCAUUAGCUUAGUGGAUAUGAACUGACUGCUUUUCAAACAUCCUGCCAACUUGAGAAAAGGACUUCAUUCAAAUCCAGAAACCUCUCUUAUUAACAGUGAACUCUACUUCAUUUCCUUCUGAAGUCUGUUUUAUGACUUCAGAACAGCUCCUGGCCAGGAGACCAAAUACAGCAAGGACACUGGCUGGGCUAUAACCCUGGCUCAUCUUAUUUAGCCAAGGUGAGAAAUCUGCACCUCACAAAGAAUGAGGUGGGGGUGGAGGCAAUUGACAAUGGUUAGUGUGGUUUAAAGUAAUGUUUGUAAAGGGCUUUGAGGAUAAAUCUUUACCUGUUGUUGCAAGAAAACAGAUUAAAUGCUCUUAUGUGUAGAUAAGAAUCAAGGGAGCCACCUCCCUCCCUAAAAAUGUUAAAUGCUGAAAGCCCUUCCUUCCUGAAACUGGAAAGUCACAAAUGUCAUGGAAUUUGGCUGGAUUGCAAUUUGGCUCAGAAGACUUGAGGAAGGAAUCUGAGUAGAAGUUUGCACAUUCCAGUUUCUAAUUGGACUCCAUUCCUGAUUCCUUCUUGCCCACUCUUGCUGGGCCUUAGGGCUUGUCUUGUUGGGGGAAACUUCCUGGUGUAGCUAGAACAGAAUAACAGUUCCUCAGUAGCUAUUCUGGUAUAACUGCCCUGGUGGAUACUAUUGCAAAAUAAGUUAUUUUAUUCCAGACUAAUUACUUCAUUUUCAAAUGGCUCUGCUCUGGAACAGUGGCUCCAGCCCCGGCAGUUGUUCUGGAAUAGCUAUAGCUGUAACAGGUAGUUUCUCCCAUGUAGACAAGGAAUAUUCACAGCAGCACCAGGGCCUGGCUUCCUAAAAAGAAGCUAAAAUGAAGGGACCUAGAAAGGACUUGCUUCUUAUGGUUUUUACCUCCCUCCAGAUUGUACCUCUGAUUGACCGGGGAAGCAGGGAACCCUGUCCUAAGAGAUGGGCAUUUGUAAACACUGCAAAGAGAAGGAGAACAGGCUAUUGGAGGCUGUGGAGGUGGAAGCCAGAAAUGCCUCAGCUCUAUAGUCAGCUCUGGCAGGCAUAAUGAGCUACAAACAGCCUCUCAGUUAAUCUCCCUGGCCGUGCAAUGAAGAGCAUCCUCAGACUGAAAACACCUGCUGUACAUCCAUUUGCUUCAUUCAUAGAUUUGAAAAGUCAACAAAGAGUAAGGGCUUGUCUACACUGGCACUUUACAGCACUGCAACUUUCUCGCUCAGGAGCGUGAAAAAAACCCUCAUGGAGGUGGGUUUUUUAGAGCCAUGGCAGCGCUUUAACAUUGCCGGUGUAGACUAGCCCUAAAAUACAGCAAUCCUUCCGGCAUCGUCCCAGCAGAGAGGGGCAGGCUGGGACAAUGACAACAACACAGACACAAGUCAGCCUCCUAGGAGGAAGGUCAGCCUUGUGGUUAAGGCAAGGUACUUAGGUAUGGCAAUGCUGAGUGACGCAGCACCUAGAAAAAAAAAAAUCACAAAUGCCUCUGCAAUCCAUGAAGCCUCAGCUCAGUGCCUAGGCACCCUAUACAAUGAAUGGGGGAGAGGCACCCUUCUAGUCUGACCCCUUGUGUAGCACAGACCAUAGAG